UACGUAGGGUGCGAGCGUUAAUCGGAAUUACUGGGCGUAAAGCGUGCGCAGGCGGUUAUUUAAGUCAGGUGUGAAAGCCCUGGGCUUAACCUAGGAAUUGCGCUUGAGACUGGAUAGCUUGGAGUGCGGCAGAGGGAGGUGGAAUUCCACGUGUAGCAGUGAAAUGCGUAGAGAUGUGGAGGAACACCGAUGGCGAAGGCAGCCUCCUGGGCCAGCACUGACGCUCAUGCACGAAAGCGUGGGAGCAACAGG
rnacentral:rRNA from 1 species